rnacentral:rRNA from 1 species
AGAGUUUGAUCCUGGCUCAGGACGAACGCUGGCGGCGUGCCUAACACAUGCAAGUCGAGCGAUGAAAUCCUUCGGGAUGGAUUAGCGGCGGACGGGUGAGUAACACGUGGGUAACCUGCCUCAAAGAGGGGAAUAGCCUUCCGAAAGGAAGAUUAAUACCGCAUAAUAUGUUUUGGUCGCAUGACCGAGACAUCAAAGGAGCAAUCCGCUUUGAGAUGGACCCGCGGCGCAUUAGCUAGUUGGUGAGGUAACGGCUCACCAAGGCGACGAUGCGUAGCCGACCUGAGAGGGUGAUCGGCCACAUUGGAACUGAGACACGGUCCAGACUCCUACGGGAGGCAGCAGUGGGGAAUAUUGCGCAAUGGGGGAAACCCUGACGCAGCAACGCCGCGUGAAUGAUGAAGGCCUUCGGGUUGUAAAGUUCUGUCUUCUGGGACGAUAAUGACGGUACCAGAGGAGGAAGCCACGGCUAACUUCGUGCCAGCAGCCGCGGUAAUA